CACAGUCCCACCUAGCCCACUCGCAGGCGCGGAGCGAACCACCCUCCUCCCAGUCUACCCAGCUCGGCUCCGCUCGUCAGCUACAACGCGCGAAUUCUGCUGGCUCGGCUCUGGGCGAUAGUACCCGACGCCGCAAAUUGCUCCUGUUCCCCGUUGACCAUCACAAACCCAAAUCUCCAUCGCGUGAUUCGUUGGCCGCCAGACGCCGCCGGCGACGAUCCCGUCCCACACUCGCAGCUUCAAAUCGGCUCGCAUCGCUAUCCCUGGCCAUCCGACGACCCGCCGCUGCUCUAUUCCUUAUCCCCACAAAUUGUGCCUGUUUCCUAAUCCACACCGCCGGAAAACUCCCGAAAUCCCCAUCCCCAUCCCCAUCGAUUCCUUUCGCCGCCGCCCUCGGCAGAAACGGCGUCGAUCCGGCCUGCAUCGAGGAUGUGCUGCCGGAGAAGCUCCGGAUCCAGAUUCCUCGGUGCACGAGACCAUUCGUCGGUGAUACUGUGAGGCUGCUUUGUGGGCAGGGGAUCGGAAGGCAGCUGUCCAUGAUGUGUGUGUCGUAGCAGCCGAUGGUCCGACAUAAUCCAGGUGGAUCUGGGCGCAACAGAAGAUUGGAGUAUUCAGGUUUCUGAUUUUCUUUUGGAUUGAUCGGGGAUCCAGCCCUGCGGCCAUAGGCUCCAGAGUUGAGCAGCGGCAAAUUAAAUCCCCCAUACUCAUUAGGCCUCAAGACAUUCGUUUAGAUUAGGAGCUGAUUCCCUCUAGAUCAUGAUUUUGUUUCCUCACUGUACGUCUAUUCCUUUUAGCAUUUUCCAUUGAUCUAUUUAGCCGUCACGAAUUGGGAUUUCUUGUAGUAGCCAUAUCAUCUGAAUUUCGAUUCUACAUCCAUAUCUUUUCAUUCAGAUUUCAAGGUAUUCAGUGACAUUGCACUAUUCUUAAUACAUCAUAUUAUAGUAAAUUUUAAGAAAUUAUUUUCAAAAUUAAAUGGCAUAGAAGGAAUAGGAUACGAUGAUGUGAUUUCCACUGCUUGGAUACUAGAUUAAGAGCAUCAUUGGCUGGAUACUAGAUUAAGAGCAUCAUUGGCCGAUCUGUGAAAAUGGCAUAGAUAAUUCCAAGAUGUGAAGUGGAUUAGUAUGGCUUUCAUUGGCUGCCGCUCAGCAUCAGUGGCAACCAGUGCCAGUUAGCUAGCUACUUAUGGGUUUGCUUGGAGUAGAGAAUUAUUAUUCUGACAUAUUUCAAUAUAUCAUGAAAGCUUAGUAAAUUUCUCAUGUCAUUUAUUACUGCUAUUCCUUUCAUGAUGAUUUUUAGGAGAUGGUGUCUCAUUGGCAACUGCAGUGGAGACUACAAUCAUUUACUUUACAGAGCACCCAAAGAGCAUUGGAGCUGCCAGUUCCAUCACAUGGGCUAUCUGAAGAAGCCCAACUAAAGUGAGGAUGAUGACGAAUGCAUGCAGCAAAACAUAUGAAAGAUCUUCAAAGUAGCUGGCUGUGUGAUGUGCACCUUCGAAGACAGUGUGUAUGUGCUGUGCUGCAAACCUGCAAUGCCAGGUAGAAUGUGCAAGCAAAGCAAUCCAGAUUGUAUCAAUUUCAAUAUUUUUCCUCCUGCUUGGCAUGAUAUAUUGCAAGUACCGCAUCGCUGCUGUCAUUUGUAAUCCAGCCAAUUCGGCAGUCAUAUUGCUCCAAUUUAACUCUGUCUAAUACUAACUUCAAAACAUAUCGUUUCCUGUAACAUGGACCCUGAUUGUGAAUGAAAGAACUUGUGAAUGCAGGAGCCAUCCGGUACCUUCA